rnacentral:rRNA from 1 species
UACGGAGGAGCUAGCGUGUCGGAAUACUGGGCGUAAGCGCACGUAGGCGGCUACACAAGUCAGAGGUGAAAGCCCGGGGCUCAACCCCGGAACUGCCUUUGGAAACUAGGUGGCUAGAAUCUUGGAGAGGUCAGUGGAAUUCCGAGUGUAGAGGUGAAAUUCGUAGAUAUUCGGAAGAACACCAGUGGCGAAGGCGACUGACUGGACAAGUAUUGGCGCUGAGGUGCGAAAGCGUGGGGAGCAAACAGGAUUAGAUACCCCCGUAGU